rfam:Asian citrus Psyllid, Diaphorina citri - Florida Strain, whole genome shotgun sequence.
ACUCCCAUGGCGUAGUGAUCACUGCGCUCACCUUGCACGUGGGAGACCCGGGUUCGAUUCCCGGCGGGGGCA